UCUAGAGCUAAUACAUGCAGUUUGAGGGGGGUGUAACAGCCAACCUUAGCAUUUAUUAGAACAAAACCGACUACGAUGGUGAGGUCGAAAGCUUCGCCUCCGUAAGGUGAAUCUAGAUAACUUUGCAGAUCGUAUGGCCUCGAGCCGGCGACAUUUCAAUUGAAUUUCUGCCCUAUCAACUUGUUGGUAAGGUAGUGGCUUACCAAGGUUUCAACGGGUAACGGGGAAUCAGGGUUCGAUUCCGGAGAGGGAGCCUGAGAAAUGGCUACCACAUCCAAGGGCGGCAGCAGGCGCGCAAAUUACCCAAUCCAGAUUCUGGGAGGUGGUGAUGAGAAAUACUAGAUGGUUUCCCUAUGGGAUGCCAUACUGGAAUGGACGUAACUCAAGAAAUUCGAUGAGUAACAACUAGAGGGCAAGUCUGGUGCCAGCAGCCGCGGUAAUUCCAGCUCUAGUAGUGUAUCGUAAAGUUGCUGCGUUUAAAAAGCUCGUAGUUGGAUUACGCAGUAUGAAUUAGUAGAUUGGCGCUGGGGUACGCUUAAUCUGUUAGAUGAUUUGCUAUUGCGAGGUUAAUCCCGUAGUGGUGAGUUGUCUAAUAGAGUAUUCCGCGUCGAUUAACAGCUAGUUCAUGCUACUUAUACGUGAGAAUGGUGGUUGACCUUAAGUGCGUUGACCAUUGUGUCUUACGAGGUGUGCCUUGAAUAAAUCAGAGUGCUCAAAGCAGGCGAAAGCUUGAAUGUUAAUAGCAUGGAACGAACAAUUGUGAUUUUGCGCCUCUGAUCGGGGUAUUCGUGGAUUUAUGUCUGCGUUUAUUUCGGUUAGGGGUGCAGCACCAACCGCCAAUAACGGAUGUUGGUUUCCGUAUUGGGGUGAUGAUUAAAAGGAGCGGUUGGGGGCAUUGGUAUU
rnacentral:rRNA from 1 species